GGUAAUGAGAGCAUCUUUGGAUCUCAACGCCUGUGUCAGCUGAUCGAUUGUCCUGGAAACAGAGGCAGGGAGAGCGUUAGAGAGAAGGAGUGGGAGUUUUACAUCAGUUCAGAAAAUAGAUUCAUGCGUGCAGUUGGUAGCCCUUUAACUCUUCGACUCAAUGCUGCCCACCUCUUGCAGAAGCUGGAUCUUGGUUUCCAGGAUCUCCUGCAUGUGGUCGAUUUCCUGCUGCCUCUCCUCGCACCGUCGCUGCAGCUCAGCCUCAUUGUGAUUGGUCAGGCUUUCUGCUGUAGUUCUACCAGGGGAAACGAAGGGGCCAGGUUAUAGAAACAGACACUCAGCAUAUACAUUUUCAUGUUUCUAUCAUAAUACAUUAUCCUGGUAUUGUACAUCUAUGACUUUGAAGAUAACUUCAGCACAAACAUACAGUUCAGAAGCCAGGCAUUCAAGAAACAGUAACAGCAAGAGUGUGGUUCAUCUCCUCACUCAAUGGCAAAAUCGAGAAGAAUCUCCAAUCAUACUGGAGCUUCUCUCUUUUGGGUUUCAUCCAAGGAUUACUUUUCCCUGCUAUUGUUUUCCAUCACGUUAUUAGCUUCCUAAAUGAGCUAGUCCUGGCUAUUACUGACUCACGGAAAUACAACAGCAGGAUAAUGAAAAAAACUCAGUAUUAAGUGCAUCCUGUUAUGAUCUUUUCUAUUUGCAAAUUAGUUAUGGCAGUUCUGGGUUGGUACAAACCUGGCAAAAUGUCAUGCAAAGUGUUUUUUUAAUUAAAAUACAAUAUAUUUUGUCAGACUGAGUCCAUCAGGUUUGUGUUUAUGUUCCAUUCUCACUUGCUUCACUGAUGGCCAUUAGCCAUAUGUUUUAGGUGAUGUAUUAUCCUGAAUUCUUGUGGAAAGCCCAAGGUUUUAAGUUCUGCUCAUGUUGUGCCAAUGUCGAUCCAUUACCAUCUCGCCAAUGCGGCUUUGAUCAGCCUCAGGUCAUGCUAAGGUCAGAACUAAAAGUUCUCUGAGCCAAUCGGCUGUUGGUUGCGUGUGUCAAGCCUGACUGUUAUCCUACACCAGGGCUACUUAUAGCAAUAUCUGUAAUUCAAGUGGAGAUGUAUAUUGACUUAUAUUAUAAACUUACGAACACAACAGGACACUGAGGAAAUAAUGGGGCCUCAAUUCCAGAGGAUAAAUAAUUAUCCUGUACUUUCUCAGCUCUUUUCAUGGAAGCAUUAUGGGAUAAUGUACAACUCUAAAAAAAAGCCAUGCAGUAUUUGCUCUGUAUAGUUUUAAAAAAAAACAAAAAAUAUGCUGUAUGUAAUAAAUUUGAUUUUUACUUGA